rnacentral:lncRNA from 1 species
CUAUUUUGGGGACCUUAGCUUCAUUUUCAGGGAAAGCAAUGAAUACCAAAGUUGAAUAUAUUUUUGUGGUACACAAUUUAGGCACCUGAUUUGAACUAUUUGGAGUUUGGAUGUGGGAGAUAUGACAUCAGGAAUGAAGGGCUAUGUAAAAGAAAAUUCUAGGCGAGUCAGAUUUUAUGGAAAUCAAGUUUGCUUAACCCCUAAGCAAGGAGCUCGUACAAGGGAAGGUGGAGUACACCCCAAGGCUUCCCAAGGAUAUAAAUAUGAACCCCUAGGCACCCUCAAUGAAGGAUCCAUCCACCAGAACUCGAUGAAACUAAGGGCACUCACCAGAGGGUGCUGAGAGCUAUUGCAAGUCUUCAAAGUUAUCUAGGAGAUGGCUUGGGCUCGACCCUAGCCACCAUGGCCUCCUUGCAUGGUUGUGCCAUGAUGGAUCUUAGGAGCAGGAGUAGAUCAUCGAUGGUAUGUACUCAAAGUUGAUGAUCUAAAUACAUCUAUUAUAUGAGCAAUGUUCUUCAUAUCAUUCAAUCUGUUAGCGACUCAAUAUCUCCUUUUAUGCUCUUCUAUCUACCAUGAAUAUGCUUAUUCCUUAGUCUAAUACAUGUUUAGACUACAUAGAAUGCUUUAUGUAGUCAUGGUGAUUAGAUCUAGCAUGUUGAUCUUUCUUGAUAGCUAGACAUGUUCACAUGUAUUCGUGCCUUGAAACUGCUUGUGCCGAUAGGGGGGAUCAUGACAGGGUCUGCUUUCGUGUAGGGGGAGUUUUUGGGAGGUUGACAAGAGGUAGUAGUUUAAAGAUUGCUUUGGAUGAGAUGCAUGUUGUGCUUGCUUAUUAGCUAGAACUACAACUAGAAGAUGAUAGGUUUUUGGUGCCCCUGGUGGUGUUAUCUUAUAUCUAUGGAUGCGAUCAACCUGUGUUCUCAUGAUUCAUCUUUACAUCAAGGUUACCCUUCAUAUGCAAUCUAUGUUUCAUGUUAGGAUUAGAUCCAAUGAGCUAGAUAGAAAACACUAGUUAGUUUGCUACCGAUCUACAGAUUAAUAAACCUUGAAUGGAAUAUUCUAAGGGAAAAGUUACGAUGAUCUGUGCGCUUGCAGUUCACAAAUUGGUAUGCUAAGUACUGUCAACAGCAUGCCUCGUAAACAUUUGGUAAGUGGUACUUCGGUCAAACAAUUUUGGAGACUUAUUUGCUCGGUCAUUUUUAUUCCUCUCUUUUCAUAAACCAAUAACUUGAGCCAUCACAAUUUUUAUUUGCUUCUUCUUGGAAAACUAGAGCCAAAACUCCAGAUCCUAUCAGAUUGAUCGACUCAUCCAUGAUGAUUAGCCUGACUUGUUUCUCUAAAUAAAAAUACACGUGAAGAGCCCACAUUCUUUUUAUGAUUAUAAAUUUUGAUGCAUGUUAGGAGUCAUGAUAAAUUUUUGUUUGCUUUCAUUUGAAAAUAGUCAUUUUCCUAGAAUUAGAAUUUUUCUGAGCCACCUUUAAUUUAUUUCAUUCAAAACUCAAGUCUCAGUUUUGGCGAAAAUUAGAACCUAAACC